rnacentral:lncRNA from 1 species
GGAAAAGCACAGCAUCUAUUAGGCUUUCUUAUCGUUUUAUGUAUCGAGUAAAUACAUGAAAGAAGAAUUUGGAAGAUUUUAAAAUGAAUCCAGGCAAUUUUUUUUGGUAUUUAAAUGAGCAAACACCUCAGCUUUCUUCUAUCAUAAUGCCAAAUUUGACCCUCGAAGUCCACAAUGCGCAGGAGCACUAAAAUAAUUACACAAAA